rnacentral:sRNA from 12 species
AUAUUUGGUUGUAGGACGCAACCAAGUAAAAAUAAAGAAAAGUCCACUGAGA